CAGUAGCCACGGGAAUACGAAGGGGGCUAGCGUUGCUCGGAAUUACUGGGCGUAAAGGGCGCGUAGGCGGACAGUUCAGUCGGGGGCGAAAGCCCGGGGCUCAACCUCGGAAUUGCCUUCGAUACUGGCUGUCUUGAGUAUGAGAGAGGUGUGUGGAACUCCGAGUGUAGAGGUGAAAUUCGUAGAUAUUCGGAAGAACACCAGUGGCGAAGGCGACACACUGGCUCAUUACUGACGCUGAGGCGCGAAAGCGUGGGGAGCAAACAGGAUUAGAUACCCCAGUAGUCCCUGUCUCUUAUAC
rnacentral:rRNA from 1 species